GGCGGUGUAGCUCAGUUGGUUAGAGCGCACGGUUCAUACCCGUGUUGCCACUGGUUCGAGUCCAGUCACCGCUA
rnacentral:tRNA from 1 species